GCUGAUGCAGGCAGUGAGUAUGGGCAGCUUGUCAUGCAUAUUCGUUUCUUAAAGGCCAUGGAAUGAAACAUUCAGUCUUUAGCCUAUUUUAUGGUCCCUCUUGAUAUUUUGGAUCCUGCAAGGAUUUUGGCUUAUGAGGAGGCAAGGUCAUCCCUAUUUUAGCAGAUUCCUGAUCGUCAUUAUGAGAAUAGAAAGUUGUGCUUCCUCCAUGAUCAGGUGGUGAGUGGUGAGUCUAGGAAGCACACCAUUGACUUCGAGGGUAUUUUGAGAUUUCUGGGUUGUAUUUAUGUUCCCCGG
rnacentral:lncRNA from 1 species